rnacentral:rRNA from 1 species
UUCCUUUAGUGUAAUAUUAAAGGUAAAUUUUGCCCUAUGAUUAAAAAUUAAAUGGCUGCAGUAUUUUGACUGUGCAAAGGUAGCAUAAUCAUUAGUCAUUUAAUUGUUGGCUUGUAUGAAUGGAUAUAUGAAAGUUUAAUUUUUUUUAUUUUAUUAUUAAAAUUUUAUUUUUAAGUUAAAAAGCUUAAUUAUUUUUUUGGGACGAUAAGACCCUAUAGAACUUUAUUAUAUUAAAAUUUAAAUUUUUAUAGUUAAUUGCAUUUAUUUAAUUUUUUAAUAUUUUUUUAUUGGGGUGAUAAAUAAAUAUUUAACUUUAUUUUUUUUUUUCAUUAAUUUAUGAUUAUUUUGAUCCAAUGUUUAGAUUAAAAGAUUAAGUUACCUUAGGGAUAACAGCGUAAUUUUAAUGGGGAGUUCAUAUUUAUAUUAAAGUUUGCGACCUCGAUGUUGAAUUAAGAUAAGUUUGAGGGGUAGAUUUUUCGUUACUAAGUCUGUUCGACUUUUAAAUUCUU